rnacentral:tRNA from 2 species
CUUAUUGGCAGAUCAUUGCAUUAGAAUUAGAAUCUAAUUAACC